rnacentral:rRNA from 1 species
AUUGAACGCUGGCGGCAGGCCUAACACAUGCAAGUCGAACGGACACAGGAAGAAGCUUGCUUCCUUGCUGAAGAGUGGCGGGCGGGUGUGAAAUGUCGGUAAAACUGCCUGAUGGAGGGGGAUAACUCCGGGAACCGGUAGCAAAAACCGCAUAACGUCGCAAGCCCAAAGAGGGGGACCGUCGGACCUCUUGGCUGUGGAUGAGACCAGGAGGGAUUAGCUAGUAGGUGGGGUAACGGCUAACCGAGGCGACGAUCCCUAGCGGGUCUGAGAGGGUGACCGGCCACACUGGAACUGAGACACGGUCCAGACUCCUACGGGAGGCAGCAGUAGGGAAUAUUGCACAAUGGGCGAAAGCCUGAUGCAGCAACGCCGCGUGUAUGAAGAAGGCCUUCGGAUUGUAAAGCACUUUCAGCGGGGAGGAAGAAAGUAGAGAUAAUCCCUGUGCUUAUUGACGUUACCCGCAGAAGAAGCACCGGCUAACUCCGUG